GGGUGAUCGCUGCUUUGGGGCAGCGACAGGUCAAGCGAUGGUCGGGCCGCCACG
rfam:Bradyrhizobium sp. AS23.2 Bradyrhizobium_AS_23.2_c81, whole genome shotgun sequence.